CUAACAUGAAAUUUCAGGACCCAAUGGGGGUGGGGUGUAGGAGCUCCAGCCAGGAACCUGAGCUGGGUGGAGCUUGGGAGAAGGAAGGAGAGAGCGAAGCUGGCAGAGAAUAGAUUUUGGCCAGGAUUCCUGGAGACUGGCGGGCAGAGGUGGUGGCUGGGGGUCUGGGGAAAAGGGAUGGAGAGCUAAAAAUAUAAAGGUACAAUAGUAUUAGCAAUAAUUUACAUAUAUAAUUCUUCAGUGUCCUGUAGGAGAGAAGCUAGGGAUUUCAUCUUGAAUUUGAUUCCCCAAACCAGUCCAUUUAGAUAAGCGAAAAGACCUUUCUGGCAGGGAAGGUUUUGGCUGAGAUCUGGGAGGAGAAGGUAGUUGAGCCAUUAUGAGUAGAUGAAGGGGCGAGAGGGUGUGAUAAUUUCCUAAUUGUAUUUGCUAAUGCACCUGCCUAGAACGUGCCUAUAUGCAUAAAUGCAUCCCCUUUGGGGCAAAAGAGGCUUCUGUCACUUCCCCUGGGGGCAUCAGAAGAAACUCUCUGCCUGCCUCUCACAAAGACCAAGGUGGAUCACAUUCUCUUGCCGGUGGAAUCACCCAAGCCUGACUCCUUUUGGAAUCAUCCCAGCCGCAUCCGCCACCUCUAAAGUCACCUAGACUUUUUUGCCUCCACACUGAGGAGGGUUGCAAACUGCGGAGUCUCGGUCUUCCCUCCCUAAGGCGCAAAGACACUCAAACCCACCCAGUAAAGGACACAUUUCAUCCAGCAGGACAAGGUAGCUCAGGUCAGUUGGGUGACCAAUUGCAUCUUGGAGAAGAUGACAAUUCCAGGACACAACCCUAGAGACAUAUUGACACACAGAAACACAGACACCCACGCCAUGCAGCCGUAUAGAUGCCCACAGCAGACACUAUCCGUUCCUGCACCGAGCCACACUGACCCGGUCUAGGCACAUGUGGGCGACAGCCUAAAGAGCAGGCUCAGACUUCCAGAAUCUCGAGGGCAGGUUCAGACUGCAGGCAAGCCUCGGCCACGUCUCCACCUGCAGCCUGCUGUCCCGACCCGUUGCGAAGCCCCAGACAGGGUGCUCACAAGCACAAGAAGAAAGAACUGGGUCCCGG
rnacentral:lncRNA from 1 species